rnacentral:rRNA from 1 species
CCUACGGGGUGCAGCAGUGAGGAAUAUUGGUCAAUGGGCGGGAGCCUGAACCAGCCAAGUCGCGUGAGGGAAGACGGUCCUACGGAUUGUAAACCUCUUUUGCCGGGGAGCAACGGGGUCCUUGCGAGGGCCCGAUGAGAGUACCCGGAGAAAAAGCAUCGGCUAACUCCGUGCCAGCAGCCGCGGUAAUACGGAGGAUGCGAGCGUUAUCCGGUUUUAUUGGGUUUAAAGGGUGCGUAGGCGGGCUGUUAAGUCAGCGGUAAAAUGUCGGGGCUCAACCCCGGCCUGCCGUUGAAACUGGCGGUCUCGAGUGGGCGAGAAGUAUGCGGAAUGCGUGGUGUAGCGGUGAAAUGCAUAGAUAUCACGCAGAACUCCGAUUGCGAAGGCAGCAUACCGGCGCCCUACUGACGCUGAGGCACGAAAGCGUGGGUAUCGAACAGGAUUAGAUACCCUUGUAGGC